rnacentral:lncRNA from 1 species
AAAAACAAAAGAAAGUAUUAAUUCUUACUAAUGUAUCAACGACAUGUAAGAUAAAAUUACAUUGUUCAAACAAAAUAACCAAUAUUAUGAUAGCUAAUAAUAUAUAAUAUUCAUAAUAACAAAAGAGUAGAAGCCCUCAAACAAUUCUGCAAAUCUUCCUCGUACUGAAAUCUUUCACAUCAUACUGUUUAACCUGAAAUAACAAAAUAAGUAAUAUGAAAAAUGAAUCUCCUUUUACUCAUUUGUUAUUUCUAUCAUUUAGAUGAUAGUCCUAUCUAAAAUACAAUAACUCUUACAGGCAUAUACAUGCACACCAAUUCUGGACAAAUAGAGAGGCAAAUGAAUAUAUACAUGUACACCAAUUCUGGACAAAUAGCGAGGCAAAGGAAUAUAUACAUGUAAACCAGAUGUUGUGACAUUCGAGAUUCUCAUCAAUCAUUUAUGCAAAAGUUACAAGGUCGAUGAGGCAAUGCAGGUGUUUGAGAAGAUGGGAGGCAAUGAAAGUGAUGGCAUUCUUGUUAAGCCAGACCUUGUUCUCUACAAUACAUUGAUUGAUGGGCUUUGUAAGGUAGGGUGGCAAGAAGAAGGGUUUAAGUUGAUGGAAAAGAUGAGGCUGGAGAGUAGAUAUGAACCUAAUACUGUUACCUAUUGCUUGAUAGAUGGUUUCUGCAAAGCAGGCGAGAUUAAGAGGUCAUAUGAGCUUUUUGACCAGAUGAAAAAGGGCAGGGUAGUGCCAAAUGUGAUUUCUCUGAAUACUUUGCUUGAUGGAAUGUGCAAGCAUGGGAAACCUGAUUGCUACACCUACAACACUUUGAUAUCAUAUUUCAGCCAGAAGGAGCAUUUUGCAACUGCCCAUAGAGUUAUGAAGAUGAUGAUUGAUGAUGGUUAUUUGCCUAAUGUUGUUACAUAUGGAGCACUAAUUCAUGCAUAUUGUUUAGGUGGAAAUGUUGAUGAAGCUAUGAAAAUAUUCCAGACUAGUUACGGACUAUAACAGUAAAGAAUGACAUGAGGAAGAGUUUUUCCAUAUUAGACAAUGUUACUGCAAUUUUUUCUUCAAAUAACUCUAACUCUUCUAUUUAAGCACUUUGCUACAAAGAACCCGAAAAAUGUGCGUAGUUCAACUAAAACAGACUGACUCUUUUAUCUGUUGACCUUCGCAAUGCAAGAAGAAGAAGUUCUUGCAUUAUAACAUGAAAAUCAUGAGUUUUUAGCCCCGAUAUUUUUCGUUUGCGAAUGCAACGUGAGAUAUUAGUCGCAUGGCCAUGUGGAAACUUGGCGUUUUGCAGUACUUCAUAAAAUAACUCUUUUUUUGUUGGAGACAUUGUGAAAAAAGUAGCAGGAAGGUUUGUCCUCCCACUAGCUCGAGUUUGAGGCCAUAUGCUUGGUCUUAUUUUCAUCUCCUUCAAGUCCAAUCGAGCUUCUACGUUAUCUUUUGACUUUUUACCAAGACCCAACAAUGUAUAAAUUAAGUUAUCACACACAUUCUUUUCUAUGUGUAUCACAUCAAGAUUAUGACGCACCAAGUUAUACUCCCAAUAAGGAAGAUUGAAAAAAAAUACUUCUUUUUUUCCAUGUGUUUUUCAUCACCCCGCUUAAAUCUUCACUUGAUUGACCGAGAGUAAACUUUAUAUCUCUAACUUGAUUUAGAACUUGUGAUCCAGAUACUGGAUUAUAAGGUGCAGGUCUUGAUUCUUUAGUCUCAUCAAACGACUUUGCAUCAUUUCGAUAUUUGUGCCCAGGCUUCAAGAAAAAUCGAUGGCCCAUAUAACAAAAUUUUCCCCCAUGUUUGAGUCUUCUAGAUUCAGUGUUUAUGUUAAAAGAAGGGCAUGUAAAUUUACUAUAAGUGCACCAUCCAGAGAGAUUACCAUAUGUUGGAAAAUCAUUUAUAGUCCACAUGAGAGUUGCUCGCAUUUUAAAUGUCUCCUUAGCAAAGGCAUCAUAUGUUUCUACCCCGACAUCCCAUAAUUCAUUUAACUCUUCUAUUAAAGGUUCCAGAAAGACAUCAAUGUUAUUGCCAGGCCCUUUUGGUCCAGGAAUAAGUAAUGACAAAAUAAAAAACUCUUUUUUCAUGCACAUCCAAGGUGGGAGAUUAUAUGACAUUAUAAUUAUUGGCCAUGUACUAUGAACAGUUCGCAUUGUACCAAAUGGAUUAAAUCCAUUAAAAGUUAAUCCUAAACGAAUAUUACGGGGAUUUCUAGUGAAUUCUGGAUAUUUAUUAUCGAAACUUUUCCAAGCUUCAGAAUAUACAGGAUGUCGUAAAACUCCAUCUUUGUUGUGUUCUUCAUGAUGCCACCGCAUAAGCUUAGAAGUUUCUGAAGACAUAAAUAAUCUUUGUAACAUUGGUUUUAAAGGAAAAUACCUUAGGACUUUGGCUGGAAUGUUUCUAUAAAAAAAUUUCCAUCUAGAAGCCCCACAAAUUAAGCAUUUAUUAAAAAGCAUGAUUUUUAAGCCCAACACUUCAAGUAUCUUUUUAGUCUCAUAGAAAGAAGGAGGCAACUUUUCACCCUCAGGCAGUGCAUCUUUUAAUAGUCCAAGCAAAGCAUUAAAAGAUUCAUUUGUCCAUAUGAAUGACCGUUUCAUAUUGUAGAGAUGCAGCAAAAAUGACAGUUUAUUAAACUUCUUGCAUCCAGGAUAUAGUUCUUCAUUUGAAUCCUUCAAGAGUUGUUCAAACUUAUCCACCUCUGGAUGAGAUUGAUUUAUAAAUGGAUUAGUAUUAUUUUCUUCUGAGUUUGGCUCCAUCUCACCCCUUUCACUAAUAUCACUAACCAUAGACUGGGUAAAGCCUCCAGAAGCAUCAUGUAUCAUUCCUAUCAUAUCAUCACCCCUUAUAGUUAAUUGUCUGUAAUUAUUUACAUGAAUACUAUUUGAUUCAUUCAGAGACUCCCCAUGACAAAAUAAAGUAUCAUGUGAUGACAUAACACCAUUAACCACAAGAUGAUCAUAUGCAGUAGCCCGAUUUACUUGAUAGUAUAGCACACAUUGUGAACAAGGACAUGAAAUUGUUUCUCUUUCACGAAAGGCGUAGUUUAGAAAAUUCUCUACUCCAUCCAAAUAUUCUUUACUGACUCUAUCAUAAUACAUCCAUUUCUUACUUCUAGGCUUGUCCACGACUAUUCAAGGAUUUUUUUUUUCUUUCAAUAAUAGCUAAAAAUAAUUUAGUACAAAAGAGAAAAUAACCUAAAUGGUAGUUCUAGAAAAAAUGUAGUUAUAGAUGAGAUAUUAACAUGAUUAUAUAGCUCAAAGAAGUCAUUUCAACAAUAAAAUUAAGGACUGGGAAUAAAUUAAAAACAGUAAGAAAUGCAAAUUAAACUAUUAUUUGGUAUUAGAACACCAGUUUCUAGUUUUUUUUUUGUACUCUUAAUGUGCAUAUUCAGCUGGCUCAGAAACGACUUCACAGAUGCAUAAUCAUUAAGAAGCACCUAAGACGACCGCUUGCAAACUAUAACUAAAAUUCAUUAUAAUGCAAUUUUGCUCAAUGAAUCAACACCAAUUAAACACCUAAUAAGCCGCAUUAUACAAAAUGAAUUCAUAAAAACUAAAUAACACUAUCAAAUUGUGGAAAACCUAACUACCCAAUACUGUUUUUUAAAGAAUCUUUAAUUGCCACAUAAAUUCCAUGGAAUGAAAUUUCAGAUGUUUUUCACCAUUAAAUUUCACUAUUGACACAUCAGAAUGAUAAAAAAGUGUUCAACUUGAUGUUUAAUUUGAUAUUUGAAUUUUUGAGAAGUUAAUAUGUAUAAAAUAAUUGGGAGGGAGAAGUAGCACCAUAGAAUCUAGAGAUAUAACACAAAAUAAAUAUCUCAGUAAGCAAAAAGUGCAAACCAAAUUAAAGUUAUAAUUAUCAAUAGAAAAAGUUUCAUCCUUCACUUCAAGAACGUGAAUCAAUCUGACAAUAUCCUAAAAGAUAGAGAUAGAGAUAGAGAUAGAGAUAGAGGUGUAUAAAGAGAAAUUAAGAGAAAAAUAUAAAAGUAUAGAAAAAUAGAUAGAAAUCAUACCUUUCAAUUGGCGAAAAUUUUGGUUGCUAGAGGCGGAGGUUUUCUUACACCAUGAAAAUUGUAAAAGCUUUUUUAAGAAUGAGACCUAAUUCUUAGAGGCGUAGGUUUUCCUUUUUUUGGGCAAAUCAGAGAAGUGAUAUAAUAUUUAGGCGGGAGAAGAUUUAGAGGGGAAAAAAAAUUAGAGGGAAAAGAAAAGGUAAAAAUAAAAGCUUAGCAGACUAAUUCUCUUGAAUCACCUUAAAAAAUAUAUUUAUUGCUGACAAAUGUUUAUUAGCUGCUAAUGUUUUGCCUUCACUAAACAAUUUAGCAGCAAUUAAGUUAUUGCCUUUAAAUAAUUGCCGCUAAAGACCUUUUUUGUUGUAGUGUGAACCACUUCAUUCCACCACCAGUCUCUUUUGUGCCUGCCAGAGAUGCCCGCCGAGACCCCCUAAUAUCUCUUUCGUAGCUUCCCUUAUACAGUCUGUUGUCGUUGAUCACAUAGUGCUCGCUUCUCCACUACUCCCCCAAGCUCCCAUAACCGACAACCGCCCCUUCAACUCUUGGGCUUUAUCCUUAGUUAAGGCUCUCCACCUGAUUCUCGGUCUUCCUCGAGCAGACAUUUUCCUCCUCUUCAUCGUAAUACCAAUGUCCAUCACCAAGAGCCUAUGUCGCGUCACGAGUAUCUCACCUGGAAUCACCUUGCAAUCCUUGCACAACCCUCUGUCCGCCUCCUAAGGAGGAGAUAGUCAAUUUGAGUUGUCGCCACCGUAUAGUCAAUUUGAGUCUUCGCCACCGUAUUUUGAAAAGUAACCAAAUGCUCCUCCCUCUUCGGGAAGCUAGAGUUUGCAAUCACCAGCCCAAAAAUCUUAGCAAAGUCCAGUAACUAGGUUCAUCCUCCAUUCCUCUCCCCAAAACUGAAGCCUCCAUGCACUUCGUCAUACCCACUUGCGGUCUCCCCAAUAUGACCAUUGUAAUCCCAUCCUAUGAAUAACUUCUCAGCGGGUGGUACCUGAUGCAUAAUCUCAUCUAACCCCUCCCAAAAGCGCCGUUUAACCUCCUCAUCUAGGCCCACAUGAGGCACAUAUGCGCUAACGACGUUUAGGGUGCACUGUCCAACCAUCAACUUAAUAAUCAUCAAUCUAUCAUUCACUCGUCUAACCUCAACCACAGACUCUCUAAGUUCCCUAUCCGCCAAAAUACUCACUCCAUUCUUACCUUUCUGAGUUCCUGAGUUCCAAAUUUUAUACCCGUUUGCAUCCCUCGCACUCGACCCUAUCCACCUUGUCUCCUGGACACACUCUAUAUUGAACCUCCUCUUCCGGAGGAUCUUCUCCAACUCUAUAGACUUACCUGUCAAUGUACCUACGUUCCAUGAUCCAAUCCUUAACCGACAAACACCCUUGUUCCCUUUACCUCCCUUGCCUCCCAACCCACCCCUUAACCCCCGCCCUGCCUCCCGAUUCACCCCCCGCUCCCCCCAAGGACAUGAAUUCAUUCGACCAUUCUAGACCACAGCCACUAUAACUCCAGCUUACUAAGGGGAAUCACUAACACACAUAACAGACCAAACAAGAAGAAGAUGAGUUUCCACUAUAGGCCCACUAAUACUCUGAAUAAACUAAUAAGAACUACGACAACAACAAUUUAACUAACACAAUAGAGGGAAACAGGAAAACGGGAGAUACCAACUCCCGUGAGUAGAACCUAGGAAUUUUCUUGGUAUCCGAUGGUGUUGUCGUCACCUAGCUCUUUCAAGUCCAACUCCUGUCGUUCCUUGCUGACCUCGGGUUCUUCUUCACUGUUUACACGUGCACGCCUCGCUCGCCACCAAAAGUCACCGGUCCUAACCUGAAAUACACAUAAAAUACCAUAGAGCCAAACAAAUAGGGGGCUGUCACUGCUACCACUGGUGAUGCCCAGCCGUUGCAAAUAAACACAAAGAAAAAAGGAAGCGAAUUUGAAGGUGCUAGUUAAUGGACAAACAAAUAUUGCAAAAUUAGUAAAAUUGCUUCGUGUAUGGAUAUACACUUCUUAUUGAAGUUGUUGCACUGAAAAGGAAAAUUGCUUCAUUUAUGAGAGAGAAACCGAAUGCCAAAAUAAAAGCACCAAAGAGAUUAGAUCUGGAAAUGGGUUGAUUAGAUAUUAGAAAUUCAAUGUUCACAAUGAAGCAAAAAUAUUUGUGGGUCUGAUCCUUACCUUCGCCGAUGGAAAGAAAAGAGGGAAUUAAGAAUUUGAGAGCUACGCUAGUAACGAGAUAAAGGAGCAGAAAAUGGAAGGGAAAGGAAAAGUAGAAAAAUAGAGAGGGGGGAGCGGGGAGCGGGGAGCGGGGAGCGGGGAGAGAGAGGAGAAUGGUCCCUCAAAUCCUCAAGUCUAGGUCUCUGAUACCAAGCUAUAGUUUCCCUAAUUUUUAACCUUUAAA